CCUUUCAACCACUUUCCGAUCAAAUUCACCCCAUUCCCCUAGCUCAUCUCGUCUCUCUCCCUCAUCUCUCCAUCUAACCUAAAAAUCAGCAUUCAAACCUCAUUUCUACCUACAAAUCAGGAUAAAAUUCAAAGGACAGGGCUCAUCUUCUUCAUCUUCUAGUAAAUUCAAAGGACAGGGCUUAUCUUCUUCUUCUUCUUCUUCUUCAAUUCCAUCUAAUCAGGUUAAUUGAUUUUUUUUACUCAAACGGUUAUAUAUACCUCGGUCCCCACACUCUUUUGUCCUUUAUUGGCCCGUCCUCAACGUCUUACACUCGCCGUUCACGACGACGAUGGGAGGGGGCGGCACGGUGUGCGCUCCGGCGCCGGACCAGGACGACCCGGGGACGUCCCCCAUACCGCAUAGCCUUAGAAUUAAAAAAAUGAAAAAAUUCAAAACCAACCGUUCAGAUUGUUCCAAAAAUUACAAACGGUCAAAGAUCAUAAUCCGUGACAUCAAUAUCCAGCCAAUCACAUCAAUCCUCUACAACCUAUUUAUACACAUUCACUUAUGGAUUCAUAAACUGUUGAAAGACCUUCCUCCAUCUCUCCUUACAGAUUCAUAAACUGUUGAAAGGCCUUCCUCCAAUUCGGUCAGUGGUUGCUGUCGGUUCUAGUGCGGCAAAGUUAGUUUCUAUACCGGUGAAAAGCUAUAAGAAAGAUCGCAGAAUAGUAAAGGGUAUACAAAGAGGUACAAUUGCGUUUUUUAGAAGUGUGUCAUUUCAAAUCCCCCAUUUCACUUUCAAUCAAACCAAUGGCGACAAAGGUCUCAGCGGGAAAGAUUGGUUUGUUGGGUUUGGUGUUGGGGUUAGGUUUUGUUUGGAUUAUGUAACUGGAUUUUGGUAAUUUGAUGUAAAGCUAGUUAUGUUCAUUUAUUAUUUUGAGGUGCCUUGAAGUUGGAUUGGAAGAAGACAACAAGUAUAGAAAUAUGCUAUCAGAGGAAAAUUGAAGAAAGUUUGUUUAUACACUUAAAUGAAAGGGAGACUAGAAUUGUUGUCAGAUAAUCCGCCACAAAAUGUUCUUUAAUGUUGAAAUUAGGUGUAUGUUUUUUGUAUAGUUUGGAUUUUAUUAUGUUAUUUGAAUAAGUUGGUAUUUUAA